rnacentral:rRNA from 1 species
AGUGAACGCUGGCGGUAGGCCUAUCACAUGCAAGUCGAACGGCAGCACAGUAAGAGCUUGCUCUUACGGGUGGCGAGUGGCGGACGGGUGAGGAAUACAUCGGAAUCUACUUUUUCGUGGGGGAUAACGUAGGGAAACUUACGCUAAUACCGCAUACGACCUACGGGUGAAAGCAGGGGAUCUUCGGACCUUGCGCGAUUGAAUGAGCCGAUGUCGGAUUAGCUAGUUGGCGGGGUAAAGGCCCACCAAGGCGACGAUCCGUAGGUGGUCUGAGAGGAUGAUCAGCCACACUGGAACUGAGACACGGUCCAGACUCCUACGGGAGGCAGCAGUGGGGAAUAUUGGACAAUGGGCGCAAGCCUGAUCCAGCCAUACCGCGUGGGUGAAGAAGGCCUUCGGGUUGUAAAGCCCUUUUGUUGGGAAAGAAAAGCAGCAGGUUAAUACCCCGCUGUUCUGACGGUACCCAAAGAAUAAGCACCGGCUAACUUCGUG